UACAAUGUUACAAUUGUUGCAGAUUUGGU
rnacentral:piRNA from 1 species